UGGAGGAUAGCUCAGUCCGUAGAGCAUGGGACUCUUAAUCUCAGCGUCAUGGAUUCUAGCCCCAUAUUGGGCAAAA